AUUGAACGCUGGCGGCAUGCCUUACACAUGCAAGUCGAACGGCAGCACGGGAGCAAUCCUGGUGGCGAGUGGCGAACGGGUGAGUAAAGUAUCGGAACGUGCCCAGUCGUGGGGGAUAACGUAGCGAAAGUUACGCUAAUACCGCAUACGAUCUAUGGAUGAAAGCGGGGGAUCGCAAGACCUCGCGCGAUUGGAGCGGCCGAUAUCAGAUUAGGUAGUUGGUGGGGUAAAGGCUCACCAAGCCGACGAUCUGUAGCUGGUCUGAGAGGACGACCAGCCACACUGGGACUGAGACACGGCCCAGACGCCUACGGGAGGCAGCAGUGGGGAAUUUUGGACAAUGGGCGAAAGCCUGAUCCAGCCAUGCCGCGUGCAGGAUGAAGGCCUUCGGGUUGUAAACUGCUUUUGUACGGAACGAAAAGGUUUGGCCUAAUAAGCUGAGCUCAUGACGGUGCCGUAAGAAUAAGCACCGGCUAACUACGUGCCAGCCGCCGCGGUAA
rnacentral:rRNA from 1 species